rnacentral:rRNA from 1 species
UUAAGUUAGAAAGGGCGCACGGUGGAUGCCUUGGCACUAGGAGCCGAUGAAGGACGGGACGAACACCGAUAUGCUUCGGGGAGCUGUAAGCAAGCUUUGAUCCGGAGAUUUCCGAAUGGGGAAACCCACCACUCGUAAUGGAGUGGUAUCCAUAUCUGAAUUCAUAGGAUAUGAGAAGGCAGACCCGGGGAACUGAAACAUCUAAGUACCCGGAGGAAGAGAAAGCAAAUGCGAUUCCCUGAGUAGCGGCGAGCGAAACGGGAUUAGCCCAAACCAAGAGGCNUGCNUNUGNGGUUGUAGGACACUCNGUACGGAGUUACAAAGGAACGAGGUAGAUGAAGAGGUCUGGAAAGGCCCGCCAUAGGAGGUAACAGCCCUGUAGUCAAAACUUCGUUCUCUCCUGAGUGGAUCCUGAGUACGGCGGAACACGUGAAAUUCCGUCGGAAUCCGGGAGGACCAUCUCCCAAGGCUAAAUACUCCCUAGUGACCGAUAGUGAACCAGUACCGUGAGGGAAAGGUGAAAAGCACCCCGGAAGGGGAGUGAAAGAGAUCCUGAAACCGUGUGCCUACAAGUAGUCAGAGCCCGUUAACGGGUGAUGGCGUGCCUUUUGUAGAAUGAACCGGCGAGUUACGAUCUCGUGCAAGGUUAAGCAGAAGAUGCGGAGCCGCAGCGAAAGCGAGUCUGAAUAGGGCGCAUGAGUACGUGGUCGUAGACCCGAAACCAGGUGAUCUACCCAUGUCCAGGGUGAAGUUCAGGUAACACUGAAUGGAGGCCCGAACCCACGCACGUUGAAAAGUGCGGGGAUGAGGUGUGGGUAGGGGUGAAAUGCCAAUCGAGCCUGGAGAUAGCUGGUUCUCUCCGAAAUAGCUUUAGGGCUAGCCUCAAGGUAAGAGUCUUGGAGGUAGAGCACUGAUUGGACUAGGGGCCCCUACCGGGUUACCGAAUUCAGUCAAACUCCGAAUGCCAAUGACUUAUCCUUGGGAGUCAGACUGCGAGUGAUAAGAUCCGUAGUCGAAAGGGAAACAGCCCAGACCGCCAGCUAAGGUCCCAAAGUAUACGUUAAGUGGAAAAGGAUGUGGAGUUGCUUAGACAACCAGGAUGUUGGCUUAGAAGCAGCCACCAUUUAAAGAGUGCGUAAUAGCUCACUGGUCGAGUGACUCUGCGCCGAAAAUGUACCGGGGCUAAACGUAUCACCGAAGCUGCGGACUGUUCUUCGAACAGUGGUAGGAGAGCGUUCUAAGGGCUGUGAAGCCAGACCGGAAGGACUGGUGGAGCGCUUAGAAGUGAGAAUGCCGGUAUGAGUAGCGAAAGAGGGGUGAGAAUCCCCUCCACCGAAUGCCUAAGGUUUCCUGAGGAAGGCUCGUCCGCUCAGGGUUAGUCGGGACCUAAGCCGAGGCCGAAAGGCGUAGGCGAUGGACAACAGGUUGAUAUUCCUGUACCACCUCCUCACCAUUUGAGCAAUGGGGGGACGCAGGAGGAUAGGGUAAGCGCGGUAUUGGAUAUCCGCGUCCAAGCAGUUAGGCUGGGAAAUAGGCAAAUCCGUUUCCCAUAAGGCUGAGCUGUGAUGGCGAGCGAAAUAUAGUAGCGAAGUUCCUGAUUCCACACUGCCAAGAAAAGCCUCUAGCGAGGUGAGAGGUGCCCGUACCGCAAACCGACACAGGUAGGCGAGGAGAGAAUCCUAAGGUGAUCGAGAGAACUCUCGUUAAGGAACUCGGCAAAAUGACCCCGUAACUUCGGGAGAAGGGGUGCUCUGUUAGGGUGCAAGCCCGAGAGAGCCGCAGUGAAUAGGCCCAGGCGACUGUUUAGCAAAAACACAGGUCUCUGCGAAGCCGUAAGGCGAAGUAUAGGGGCUGACGCCUGCCCGGUGCUGGAAGGUUAAGAGGAGCGCUUAGCGUAAGCGAAGGUGCGAAUUGAAGCCCCAGUAAACGGCGGCCGUAACUAUAACGGUCCUAAGGUAGCGAAAUUCCUUGUCGGGUAAGUUCCGACCCGCACGAAAGGCGCAACGAUCUGGGCACUGUCUCAACGAGAGACUCGGUGAAAUUAUAGUACCUGUGAAGAUGCAGGUUACCCGCGACAGGACGGAAAGACCCCGUGGAGCUUUACUGCAGCCUGAUAUUGAAUGUUGGUACAGCUUGUACAGGAUAGGUAGGAGCCUUGGAAACCGGAGCGCCAGCUUCGGUGGAGGCAUCGGUGGGAUACUACCCUGGCUGUAUUGACCUUCUAACCCGCCGCCCUUAUCGGGCGGNNNNGANNGNNNNNCAAUACAGCCANGGNANAGGNGUUACCUUUUAGGAGGCGCCCAAAGGUUCCCUCAGAAUGGUUGGAAAUCAUUCGCAGAGUGUAAAGGCACAAGGGAGCUUGACUGCGAGACCUACAAGUCGAGCAGGGACGAAAGUCGGGCUUAGUGAUCCGGUGGUUCCGCAUGGAAGGGCCAUCGCUCAACGGAUAAAAGCUACCCCGGGGAUAACAGGCUUAUCUCCCCCAAGAGUCCACAUCGACGGGGAGGUUUGGCACCUCGAUGUCGGCUCAUCGCAUCCUGGGGCUGUAGUCGGUCCCAAGGGUUGGGCUGUUCGCCCAUUAAAGCGGUACGCGAGCUGGGUUCAGAACGUCGUGAGACAGUUCGGUCCCUAUCCGUCGCGGGCGCAGGAAAUUUGAGAGGAGCUGUCCUUAGUACGAGAGGACCGGGAUGGACGCACCGCUGGUGUACCAGUUGUUCUGCCAAGGGCAUCGCUGGGUAGCUAUGUGCGGACGGGAUAAGUGCUGAAAGCAUCUAAGCAUGAAGCCCCCCUCAAGAUGAGAUUUCCCAUUCCGCAAGGAAGUAAGAUCCCUGAAAGAUGAUCAGGUUGAUAGGUCUGAGGUGGAAGUGUGGCGACACAUGGAGCUGACAGAUACUAAUCGAUCGAGGACUUAACC